AUCGAACGCUGGCGGCAGGCCUAACACAUGCAAGUCGAGCGAGCGGCGGACGGGUGCGUAAUGUAUGGGGACUGCCCGAUAGAGGGGGAUAACUACUGGAAACGGUAGCUAAUACCGCAUACUAUCGGAUACCCCAUAUGGGAUUAGCUAGUCGGUGAGGUAAUGGCUCACUUAGGCGACGAUCCCUAGCUGAUCUGAGAGGGUGAUCGGCCACAGUGGGACUGAGACACGGCCCAGACUCCUACGGAGGCAGCAGUAGGGAAUAUUGGACAAUGGGCGAAAGCCUGAGAGAGCCAUGCCGCGUGUAUGAAGAAGGCCUUAGGGUCGUAAAGCUCUGUUAGUCGAGAAGCGGUAUCUACAGAGAAAGCACCGGCUAACUACGUGCCAGCAGCCGCGGUAAUAC
rnacentral:rRNA from 1 species